rnacentral:rRNA from 1 species
GACGAACGCUGGCGGCGUGCCUAAUACAUGCAAGUCGAACGCUUCUUUCUCACCGAACUUCGGUUCAUCGAAAAAGAGGAGUGGCGAACGGGUGAGUAACACGUGGGUAACCUGCCCAUCAGAAGGGGAUAACACUUGGAAACAGGUGCUAAUACCGUAUAAUGCUUUUUCUCGCAUGAGAGCAAGCUGAAAGGCGCUUUUGCGUCACUGAUGGAUGGACCCGCGGUGCAUUAGCUAGUUGGUGAGGUAACGGCUCACCAAGGCCACGAUGCAUAGCCGACCUGAGAGGGUGAUCGGCCACACUGGGACUGAGACACGGCCCAGACUCUCUACGGGAGGCAGCAGUAGGGAAUCUUCGGCAAUGGACGAAAGUCUGACCGAGCAACGCCGCGUGAGCUAAGAAGGUUUUCGGAUCGUAAAACUCUGUUGUUAGAGAAGAACAAGGAUGAGAGUAAAAUGUUCAUCC